rnacentral:tRNA from 1 species
GCCCGGGUAGCUCAGUCGGUAGAGCAACGCACUCGUAAUGCGUAGGUCGCGGGUUCGAUUCCCGCCUCGGGCUCCA